rnacentral:rRNA from 1 species
CAAUCGAACCCGGAGAUAGCUGGUUCUCCUCGAAAUAGCUUUAGGGCUAGCCUCGUUUUAGUCUUAUGGAGGUAGAGCACUGAAUUUCCGCGGGGGCGUCAAAGCUUACCAAAGAAUAUCAAACUCCGAAUGCCAUGUAGAUGAUGAACGGGAGUCAGACUGCACGAGAUAAGUUGGGUGGUCAAAAGGGAAAGAGCCCAGACCUACAGCUAAGGUCCCAAAGUGCGUGUUAAGUGGAAAAGGAUGUGGGAUUUCGAAGACAACUAGGAUGUUGGCUCAGAAGCAGCCAUACAUUCAAAGAGUGCGUAAUAGCUCACUAGUCGAGAGGUCCUGCGCCGAAAAUGUCCGGGGCUGAAACACGACACCGAAGCUUAGGAAUCGCAUAGUGAUUGGUAGAGGAGCAUUCUUAAAACCGACGAAGCUGUACCGGAAGGAGCAGUGGAGGGAUAAGAAGAGAGAAUGCCGGAAUGAGUAGCGAGAGGAAGGUGGGAAUCCUUCCGGCCGAAUAUCUAAGGUUUCCAGAGUAAAGCUGAUCUGCUCUGGGUAAGUCGGGGCCUAAGCACAGGUCGCAAGACGUAAGCGAUGGAUAACAGGUUUAGAUUCCUGUACCACGCAUUAUCAGAACUGUAGGGACGCAUGUGGAAAGCACGAGCCGGGAAUGGAAAGACCGGUACAAGCGGGGUAGGUGUACAAUAGGCAAAUCCGUUGUAUAAUCCGAAGACGUGAUGUGGAGCGAAAUAAAGUAGUGAAGCGUGUGAGCCAUGUGCCGAGAAAAGCUGCUAUUGUGUAAUGCGUGCCCGUACCGUAAACCGACACAGGUGGAUGAGGAGAGAAUCCUAAGGCCGACGGAAGAAGCAUUGUUAAGGAACUCGGCAAAAUGACCCCGUAACUUCGGGAGAAGGGGUGCCUGCGAGAGCAGGCCGCAGAGAAUAGGCUCAAGCAACUGUUUAGCAAAAACACAGGUCUAUGCGAAACCGAAAGGUGAGGUAUAUGGGCUGACGCCUGCCCGGUGCUGGAAGGUUAAGAGGAGAGGUUAGCGCAAGCGAAGCUUUGAAUUUAAGCCCCAGUAAACGGCGGCCGUAACUAUAACGGUCCUAAGGUAGCGAAAUUCCUUGUCGGGUAAGUUCCGACCCGCACGAAAGG